rnacentral:rRNA from 1 species
UUCAUUGGGCGUAAGGGUGCGUAGGUGGCGCGGUAAGUCGGGUGUGAAAUCCCGAGGCUUAACCUCGGGACUGCAUUCGAUACUGCCGUGCUUGAGGACUGGAGAGGAGACUGGAAUUUACGGUGUAGCAGUGAAAUGCGUAGAUAUCGUAAGGAAGACCAGUGGCGAAGGCGGGUCUCUGGACAGUUCCUGACACUGAGGCACGAAGGCCAGGGGAGCAAACGGGAUUAGAUACCCCGGUAGUCCUGGCAGUAAACGGUGCACGUUUGGUGUGGGAGGAUUCGACCCCUUCUGCGCCGGAGUUAACACGUUAAACGUGCCGCCUGGGGAGUACGGUCGCAAGAUUAAAACUCAAAGAAAUUGACGGGGGCCCGCACAAGCGGUGGAGUAUGUGGCUCAAUUCGAUGCAACGCGAAGAACCUUACCAGGCCUUGACAUGCAUCUCUAAGCGCGUGAAAGCGCGUGAGUCCCGAAAGGGACAAUUUGCACAGGUGCUGCAUGGCUGUCGUCAGCUCGUGUCGUGAGAUGUUGGGUUAAGUCCCGCAACGAGCGCAACCCCUGUGAACUGUUGCCACUCCCGCGUGAGCGGGAAGCACUCUGUUCAGACUGCCUCGCUUAAACGAGGAGGAAGGUGGGGAUGACGUCAAGUCAGUAUGGCCCUUACGGCCUGGGCUGCACACGUACUACAAUGCCCAGUACAGAACGAUCCGAGACCGCGAGGUGGAGGUAAUCUACAAAAAACUGGGCCCAGUUCAGAUUGAAGUCUGCAACUCGACUUCAUGAAGCCGGAAUCG